UUACACCUUUCCUUUCCCUUCACGUAUAAACAAAGCAAAGGAAGCAUUUUUAUCGAGGGGAUGAUAUGGGCCUUCAAAUCGGCCAGGCAAGCAACAUCAACAGACCCUCAUCUCACAUGCAAGCAUAAAGAAAGGAUUUUUAAAAGGAGACAUUUUUAUAAAAAAAAAGGGGGGUUUUAUAAAAACAAAAGUCAGAAACAAAAAAGGGGGAUUUUUACCAAGGAGAUUAGCGAGAAACAAAAAGGAAGAAAACCUUAAAAAUCAUACAUUUUUCGUUCUGAAGGGAUCAUCGUUCUUCAUCGGAGCGAUUCUUCACUGGUCGAAGGGUUAAAGGGGUGGCUAUGGUGGCUUUCACCUUGUGCCUUGCCGUCUAGAAAA